GUUUUCUCUGCAGAGAGCAUGAUGGAAUCGGUUCUCUGUCCAGCAGACCUUCAGCUUGACGACUGUGAUCUCCUUAAAGAAAGCGGAUGAACUAAAUUUACCCAGCACAUUGCAAGCACCUGGUAAUCACUCUUCUCUACCUUCUCUCCCACUUCUCUUCCACCCCCAGCUGGUUCAGGAAACACAGAAAGCCCAGAGGGGAAACUACAUCCACAAAUCAUCUGGGCUUAAGGGCUGGGGGAAGACCUCUGAUUUGAAAUCCAAGCACCAUCAAUCAGUCCCUCAAACUAAAUCUCGCAGGAAGUGUGGGUCACCUCCCACCCACCACACACAUCCUGCAAGAUUCUGACACAACAAGCGCUGAUGGAUGAAAAGCGAAGGCUGACGGAUCCUGUCUUCCAUGUCCCUUCUCUGAGAGUUCUGACCAGUUUUGUCAAUAUUUGUUCAAUAAAUAUUUAUGGAGGUGGAAAAGGAUGGAUUAAAGAGCAACGUUUUCCAAACUG